UUUUAUUCUGACAGCCUAAUUUCUUUAAGAGGCUUUCAUGAAAGACUUUGCAAAAUGCUAUUUGAAAAUCAAAGCAGACUACACCAGCUAAAUGUCUCCUGCCAGUAUGCUUAUCAACUUGUUUAAUGAAUUUCACUGGAUUUUUUGAUUGUCUCUUCCAAAGGGCAACUUUUGUGUGACCACACUGAAAUUGUGCCAGGUAGCCUGCAAUCCACACCAGAAGAUCAACACUAAAGAGCAAGAACUGUACUCAGGCUAUGAAGAUAAUGGAGAAGCUAGAGAAAUAAAAGAGAGAAGAUGAAAAAUUGUUCGGAAAAAACAGCAAACUUAGAAACCUGUCCUCAAGACAAAGAUUUUUUUCUGUGUGAACCAAGACAGAAUUACCCUCUUCUGUGCUCCUUCCUGAGGAUGUACAAUGCAGCACCUGACAUUGGAUCAGCUCUCAGCAGCAGACAUUCCAUUGUUGCAAAAAUACUUCAAGGCAAGCAAAUUCUGUGA
rnacentral:lncRNA from 1 species